AUUUUUAGUAUUGACAAACUUCAGUUGAUAUUUAUGAUUUUUUAACACUACGCAGGUACAUAAUUAUACAUUUUAUAAGUUUUUCUCUUAAAUUUUACCUCUCGUAAUUUUUCCUUAGGUAGGUGAUAGUGCGAAAGGCUCUGCUAAACUAUUUUAGUUUUUUAAGAGAUAUUUUUGUAGUUUUCAAGUUUCUUUCAGUCUGUUGUCUGCGUUGCAAAUCGAGGUUCAUCUACUGAUGGUCAAGUGCGGAACCACGCAUAUCCGUUUGCGGCGUUGCAAACCUCCGGUCAUAUUUACUUUUUUCUGUGACUGCGAGUCCACGUAAUUUUUUCGAAAACCUCCUAGAUUUUUCUGCAAUUUGCGCAGAAUAUUUUGUAAGAUGGCUAUGAAGUUCGCUUGUUUCUCCUCGUAAAAAUAGAACGAUCGGAAAUUUUGAAGCACUGCAGUGACGAUACGUGGUUUCAGACUUCGGCUAUCGAUUCACUGUUUGUUGCAGUUUCACCGUCGAUAAUAUCUAUGCUAAGGUGGAUUUUAUUUCACGGAGCCUUGGACCCGCAAUACGUAGACUUCACGAAUAUCCUUAUCCGUGACCAAAUUUCCGUACAUUACACGGGAAGCCUCGGGCCUCCAAGCCAGUCUCGUUGAUCUACUCUGGAUUCUGCUGUUAUUGUCAUUAUCUGACUGAUAACUCGAACCCCGAUAACGAGUCGUUGACAAUAAGUCGAGACCAUUUGGCUGGUUCGUGUAACACACAUAUAUGACAAUUCUGCAAGAAAUCUAGCGGAGGGGCGAGAAAAAAUUGUGAAAAACAGCACUGAGGAAGACCGAGAAAGAUUGCACUGUGACUAUCCCAUAGAAUUGACAUCUGUAUCUAAUGUCUAUCAGCCCUGCAGUGUGGAUCAGGGUGAAACCGUUUCCUGUCCACCGAGCACAGCAGCGCUCAAAGUUUACAGAAUUCCCAAACCUCUCACCAAAAUUGAUAUACGUCAGAUGGAGCGAUUAGCAUCAUGAUAGCAUUUUUCGCAAGACUGGAAGGUUGAAAGCUUUUGGAGUGCUGAAGUAUUAUUGACAAGUGAGAGUCUUUCUUAAUUCCCGCCUCGUGUCUGGGUGACUUGGACUUCAUCUGGAAUCCUUUACAAGAAGAGGAACACCAUCGUUUUAUUUGUCUUUGAAUUCCAUUUUGAUGAGUAAGUCUGUAAGAAUGUAGGUAGUCCUUCAAUUGUCAUCAUUUUAGAUUGCAUAGUGUUGCUAUAAUUCCCAACUUAGGGCUGUGUGUUUUAAGCAAGCCCAGUGUUAUCAGACUUUAUUCUUCUUUACUGUCAGUAUUUUUUAUCAGUAUUAUUGGUUUUUGUAUUAUAUUAAUAUUCCACUAGUAUUGAA
rnacentral:lncRNA from 1 species